UCGUAUUUUUAUGUAUUUGUAAAACGCCAUUGUAUAUGUUUUGCGUAAAAAUAGGCGUUUAAUCAAAUGAAACAGUUUCAGUUUCAGUUUCAGUAUGUGCAUUGUGUCAGGACAUCACAAUGUUGUGACAUCACAAUUACUUUGUCAAACGAUGUUACGAAGUUUCUGUGUUUCUGUUACAUUUGAUUAUGAGGGAGUGUUUAUCUUUAUGCUCAUGUUGGUAUUUGUACAUUGAAAUAUUUUUACAUAGAAUUUCCUAUCACUUAUAAUUCGUAUUCUUUAGUGUACCAUUGAAAAAUUGAAAUAUUUUCAGUGCUUUGUAACAGUGAAAGAAUUUAUUUUAUUUCAUUCAUGUGCUCCACUGAAAAGCAUCAAAUAACAACUGUUUACUCCCUUCAGCACAUUUUUUAAAAUUUACUAGGAUAUCUGCGAAAUUCUAAUGUAGAUAAACUUUGACAACUUUUGCAGUUUUCACAUUCAAAAGAUUUUUGAGGUAAAUUAAAUUUCACCUAAAAGUAUUCAUGAAUGAGUGGCUUUGACAAAAUGGGAAGUUAUCAGAAAUUAUUAAAAGUUACAAAUAUUUUCAUGUGUAUAUAUAUGUGUAAAAAUUUUGUUGAUACACUGAAUAAAUACUGUUUAUUUUAAAAUUUGCACCUGUCACUCACCCUGCUGCAGGUUGCAGUUACAUUUCAUGAAAGAAAUUGUUGAACAAGAUUAAUAAUUAUUAACCAGUGUUCAAUUUCAUGACAGUUUGAACCUCAUUUAAACAGUAACAUUUAUCACUUUGACCUUAAACGUAGUUCUAUAUUAAACCAGUCACAACCUAUGACCUUGAACCUCUAUUAAACUUUUAACUUGUCACCUAGAACAGGAUUUAGUCCUGCUGGCCAGAACAGUUUUAGACUAGCAUUUUAACUGGUAGGUAGCAGGAGAGGAACCAAAGUUUAAUUUCAUACUAAGGAUGUUAUGAGAUAUCGAAAUUCACUGUAUCACAAUACAUUUGGCUGGCAAUAUGCAUAUCAUAUCACAGGCCUGUUUCACGAUACAGAAACGAUACAGUGUUCCUUUCCCGCUACCACAACUGCACCCUGCUGCAUGUACAUUGCCUCAUAGUCGAUUUUCUUUUUUGUAUCAUUUGGCAGCGAUGGGAUAACUUUUGCUUUGACAUAGCAAUUGGAACAAUUAUCUGUAAUUUUGUGAUAUCUGACUGUGUGUAGAUGACCAUCUACGUAGAAUACUUUCGCUUUCAACUGCCUUUUAGCAUUCAUGUUUUCAGAGUCAGGAGUUCUUGCAUUAUUCAAAAUCAGGUAAUUAUACAAAUCCAGCAUUCUGAAAAUUGGUAAACGACAAAUCGUUGUCCCACACACCUUUUAAACUCUUGGGCUAUAACAUUUUCUCACCAGGAGGAGUACAAAAAAGUUCUGAUUGUCAUUGUUUGUAGUGCUGAUCGUCCUCGAUUUUUGUAUUUCACGAAGGGGCCUCGUACCUAAUUUAACAAGUCUUUUAGCACGUUUUAUCAAUUCAGGCCUAUUUCCUGACACGUGUGCACCUCUAUCUCUUAAAUAAACCCUCAGUUCACGAAUUGAUUGUUUGUCAAAGUUACACGGUUCAUCGAUUUCUUUGUUCGUCGCCAUUUUCUGAUUUUUUUUGCUCACCGGAAGUAGUUUUUAUCAAUAACAGCAACUCAUGCAAGGGAAGUAGCCAACCUUAUUGAACAGGACUAUAAACUUAUUGGGUAAUGAUGUAUAAGCUUAUCAGAUAACGUUGUGUAAGCUCAUAAGCUAAUGGUGUAUAAGCUCAUUACCUAAUAUAUUAUAGGCUCACAAAUUAAAUUAAUGGUGUUUAAACUCGCAAGCUGACAGUGAGUAGAAACUUAUAAGCUAACUGUGUAUAACUCACAAGCUAACAUAUUAAUUUAAUUUAGGUCACCUAAUACAUGUUUGUUGUGGGGCUGUUGGUGAAGGAGUUUAUUUUGCCACACAUUGCUUUAUUGUCUGUAUUUGAACACACCUAGUAGAUAUAAUAACAAACAUGUUUAUUUUAUUUUGUAAAAAGGUUUUGUUGUAUGCAUUUCUGAUGCAUUAAUGUCAUGUUAAUUUGAAGUGUAAUUUAGGUAUCUGUUCUUAUUACAUGACUGCUUAUUUAAAUAUCAUUCCAUAGUUGGUGCUAAAUGUCUGUAUUUCUCUAUUCAGCAUAAUGUAACUUACACUAAAGAAAAAACUGCAUAAAAAAGAUCUGUGAAUAUAUAUUUUUGUGUGUGAGUGAUAAAUCACUUAAUUGAAUGACUUGCUGGUCAAAACUAUUUGCUUGUGACCAUUUGAAUCGCAGACAGAGAUUUUUGUCUAUUGAUCUGCAUGCCAUUCAGUAAUUAGAGAAUAUUUUACAGAAUUGUUGUGCCUUAAGGUAAUAUUGGCAUGCUAGGAGAUGUAUUAUCCAGGGCCUAGUAUUGCAAAUAUCACCUCCCUGUAUUAUAACAUUUAUAUGCCGGAAGGGACGUAUUAUGUUAUGAGGCCAGUGUCCAUCUGUCCAUCCGUUUGUUAGCAAUUUGUGUGUCCGCUCUGUAACUCUUGAACCCCUUGAAGAACUUUGCAGAAACCUGUCAAAAAUUUUCACCACAUCAAGACAACAUGCAUAGCACAUGUUUUGGUUGGCUCAUUUCAAUGUCAAGGUCACACUUAGGGGUCAAAGGUCAUAUGACUUUGUUUCGUGUCCGCUCUGUAACUCUUAAACUGCCUGAAGGAUUUUAAAGAAACUUGGCACAAAUGUUUCCCACAUCAAGCUGACAUGCAGAGCGCAUGUUUCGGAUGACUUGCUUCAAGAGCAAUUUCGUGUCCGCUGUGUUGCUCUUGAACCCCUUGAAGGCACACAUGUCAAAUCUCCUGAAUCAUCCUCGAGACUCAUGGAUUUUCAGUCCAUCUCCCAGUCAUACGGAAAUCAAUUUGUUUCUCCCGGAAAUCCAAGAUUGCAAGCUUAUGGCAUUAUAUAUCAAACUAAACUGCUAAAUACACACUGUGGCUGACAUAAUUUACCAUGUACUCUAUCAAUAAAGGUUCAACAAGGUCUUGCACUGAUGGCAUACUGCAAACAGGUGUGUGUAACAGUAUUGGGCUAUUUUCGGAUUAUGUUACUUGGCGAGUAUUUAUGUUUACACCUUUACAGAGGUGAUUAAUUAGGAGUACAAUUAAAUAGAUAAAAAAGCAAUAGAUAAAGAAGCUGACGGGGCCUCCGUGGCCGAGUGGUUAAGGUCACUGACUUCAAAUCACUUGCCCCUCACCGAUACAGGUUCGAGCCUCAUUGGGGCUUUGAAAUCUUUAUGUGAGGAAGCCAUCCUGCUGGUUUACAUAAGGUCGGUGGUUCUACCCAGGUGCCUGCUUGUGAUGAAAUAAUGCACGGAGGGCUACCUGGGGUCUUCCUCCACCAUCAAAGAUGGAAAGUCGCCGUAUGACCUAUAAUUGUGUCGGGUCGAUGUUAAACCCAACAAAAAAAAAAAAAUAGAUGAAAAACAAGCUGAUCUUUAUCGGGUAAUGAUGAACAUUACCACUGAUGGCAGAAGUGGGAAAACAACUUGAGAUAAAACUUUGUAUUGUUUUAUUUUCAUUGAGUAAAAAAUGGUGAAAUACGUUUAUGUCCAGUCUGUUUAUGCGGCUGCACAUGUGCUAAAAAUCUAGUAAUAACCAAAAGACCUGCAGAUUAUUCACUGGAUACGCAAAAUAAAAAGAAGAGAUAUGCCAGUAAGUUUGAUUAAUUUCUCUGCUUAUUAAACGACAUUGAUAAUAAUUAAAUAAGUUUAAAUCAAUAUUUUUGUUGUUUAAAAUGUUUUAAAAUGCAACAUACAACCACUUAAAUCAUUGCCCAUCAAUGAAUCAGUUAAACAACUCAGAAAGGAAAAAUAAUAUAUUUUAACCGAACAGUUUCCUAUUUC
rnacentral:lncRNA from 1 species